rnacentral:rRNA from 1 species
UACGUAUGGAGCAAGCGUUAUCCGGAUUUACUGGGUGUAAAGGGAGCGCAGGCGGUCUGGCAAGUCUGAUGUGAAAGGCCGGGGCUCAACCCCGGGACUGCAUUGGAAACUGUCAGACUGGAGUGUCGGAGAGGUAAGCGGAAUUCCUAGUGUAGCGGUGAAAUGCGUAGAUAUUAGGAGGAACACCAGUGGCGAAGGCGGCUUACUGGACGAUGACUGACGCUGAGGUUCGAAAGCGUGGGUAGCAAACAGG